rnacentral:lncRNA from 1 species
UAGGAGAUAGCAAUGCAGUACCAGGCUGAGCUGGUGAACACUAUGCAGAGCAUCUACACAGACUAUUGUGGCGAGAGCAUUAAGUUCACGUCAUACCAGUUUCCAGAGCCUCCUGUCUUCCCACCUUACCCUCCACCAUCACCGCCCGCCGAAGCUGAUCAGGACGCAGCUGAUGAGGAUGAAGCCGAUGCCACUGCUGAGUGAGCGAUCUUCAGGGAAGCCCUCUUGUAUAUAAUUGCUUUAUGUUUAGCAAUGAGGGCAUUGCUCACCUCAAAUUUGGGGGUGUUUUUAGCUUUUAUCUAUUUAUUUCCGUACUACCAUGUUAGGAUUGCCAGACUUUAGUACUUUAUUAUGUUUUUAUUUAUCAGUAUUGUGGUGCAGUCUUUUGAAUUCCGGGAUUAUGCUUGAAUUUUU